CCCGGGAGAUGGAUUCUGAGACACGAAUCCAGGCCCUACGGGGCGCAGCAGUUACGAAAACUUGACAAUGCGGGAAACCGCGAUCAGGGAAUUCCAAGUGCAUGCACAAUGUGUAUGCUGUUCCAUUGUCUUAAAAACAUAGGAAGUAAGGGCUGGGUAAGACAGGUGCCAGCCGCCACAGUAAUACCUGCAGCCCGAGUGGUGGUCGAUAUUAUUGAGCCUAAAGCGUCCGUAGCCGGACCAGUAAAUUCUUGGGUAAAUCGGGCAGCUUAACUGUCCGACUUCCGAGGAGACUGCUAGUCUUGGGACUGGGAGAGGUCAGAGGUACUCCAGGGGUAGGGGCUAAAUCCUGUAAUCCUUGGGGGACCACCAGUGGCGAAGGCGUCUGACUAGAACGGAUCCGACGGUAAGGGACGAAACCCUGGGGCGCAAACCGGAUUAGAUACCCGGGUAGUCCAGGGCGUAAACGCUGCAGGCUUGGUGUUGAUUUAUCCUGCGAGGAUGCUCAGUGCCGGAGGAGGAAAGAACCCUUUUCUGGGAGUACUCCGCAAGUAUAAACUUAAAGGAAAUGGCGGAAGAACCCAAGCGAGGGAAAACUUG
rnacentral:rRNA from 1 species